rnacentral:rRNA from 1 species
UACGUAGGGGGCCAGCGUUGCUCGGAAUUACUGGGCGUAAAGGGUUCGUAGGCGGUGCGGCAAGUUGGGUGUGAAAUCUCUGGGCUCAACCCAGAGGCUGCUUCCAAAACUGCUGUGCUUGAGUGUGGGAGAGGCGCGUGGAAUUGCAGGUGUAGCGGUGAAAUGCGUAGAUAUCUGCAGGAACACCAGUGGCGAAAGCGGCGCGCUGGACCACAACUGACGCUGAGGAACGAAAGCUAGGGGAGCAAACAGG